rnacentral:rRNA from 1 species
CGAAGAGCUUGCUCUUCUGAUCAGUGGCGAACGGGUGAGUAACACGUGAGCAACCUACCCUUGACACUGGGAUAACAGUUGGAAACAGCUGCUAAUACCGGAUACGAACUCAGCAGGCAUCUGCCGAGUUGGAAAGCUCCGACGGUCAAGGAUGGGCUCGCGGCCUAUCAGCUUGUUGGUGAGGUAACGGCUCACCAAGGCGACGACGGGUAGCCGGCCUGAGAGGGCGACCGGCCACACUGGGACUGAGAUACGGCCCAGACUCCUACGGGAGGCAGCAGUGGGGAAUAUUGCGCAAUGGGCGAAAGCCUGACGCAGCAACGCCGCGUGCGGGAUGACGGCCUUCGGGUUGUAAACCGCUUUCAGCAGGGACGAAACUGACGGUACCUGCAGAAGAAGCACCGGCUAACUACGUGCCAGCAGCCGCGGUGAUACGUAGGGUGCGAGCGUUGUCCGGAAUUAUUGGGCGUAAAGAGCUCGUAGGCGGUCUGUCACGUCGGAAGUGAAAACUCGGGGCUCAACCCCGAGCCUGCUUUCGAUACGGGCAGACUUGAGGAAUGUAGGGGAGAACGGAAUUCCUGGUGGAGCGGUGGAAUGCGCAGAUAUCAGGAGGAACACCAGUGGCGAAGGCGGUUCUCUGGACAUUAACUGACGCUGAGGAGCGAAAGCGUGGGGAGCAAACAGGCUUAGAUACCCUGGUAGUCCACGCCGUAAACGGUGGGCACUAGGUGUGGGGGACUUCCACGUUCUCCGUGCCGUAGCUAACGCAUUAAGUGCCCCGCCUGGGGAGUACGGCCGCAAGGCUAAAACUCAAAGGAAUUGACGGGGGCCCGCACAAGCGGCGGAGCAUGUUCAUUAAUUCGAUGCAACGCGAAGAA